rnacentral:misc_RNA from 1 species
GAUGAAGAACGUAGCGAAAUGCGAUAAGUAAUGUGAAUUGCAGAAUUCAGUGAAUCAUCGAAUCUUUGAACGCACAUUGCGCCCGCCAGUAUUCCGGCGGGCAUGCCUGUUCGAGCGUCAUUACAACCCUCAGGCCCCCGGGCCUGGCGUUGGGGAUCGGCGGAGCCCCCCGUGGGCACACGCCGUCCCCCAAAUGCAGUGGCGGUCCCGCCGCAGCUUCCAUCGCGUAGUAGCUAACACCUCGCGACUGGAGAGCGGCGCGGCCACGCCGUAAAACACCCAACUCUUCUGAAGUUGACCUCGAAUCAGGUAGGAAUACCCGCUGAACUUAAGCAUAUCAAUAAGCGGAGGA